rnacentral:rRNA from 1 species
AACGAACGCUGGCGGCAGGCCUAACACAUGCAAGUCGAGCGCGCCUUUCGGGGUGAGCGGCGGACGGGUUAGUAACGCGUGGGAAUAUGCCCUUUGGUACGGAAUAGCCUCUGGAAACGGAGAGUAAUACCGUAUGACGCCCGUUACGGGGGAAAGUAUUUAUCGACCGAAAGGAUUACGCCCGCGUUAGAUUAGGUAGUUGGGUGGGGUAAUGGCCUACCAAGCCUACGAUCUAUAGCUUGGUUUUAGAGGAU